rnacentral:rRNA from 1 species
UCUACGGGCGGCUGCAGUAGGGAAUAUUGCACAAUGGGCGAAAGCCUGAUGCAGCAACGCCGCGUGCGCGAAGAAGGCCUUCGGGUUGUAAAGCGCUUUUCGGGGAGAUGAGGAAGGACAGUAUCCCCGGAAUAAGGCUCGGCUAACUACGUGCCAGCAGCCGCGGUAACACGUAGGAGCCAAGCGUUAUCCGAAUUCACUGGGCGUAAAGCGCGUGUAGGCGGCUCGGUAAGUUGGAUGUGAAAUCUCCUGGCUCAACUGGGNGAGGACGUUCAAUACUGUCGGGCUAGAGGACGGCAGAGGGAGGUGGAAUUCCCGGUGUAGUGGUGAAAUGCGUAGAUAUCGGGAGGAACACCAGUGGCGAAGGCGACCUUCUGGGCCGAACCUGACGCUCAGACGCGAAAGCUAGGGGAGCAAACGGGAUUAGAUACCCGGGUANUC